rnacentral:rRNA from 1 species
GUCCGCACUGUAAACGAUGAUUACUCGCUGCUGGAGGGCAACUUUCAGUGGCUUAGCGAAAGCGAUAAGUAAUCCACCUGGGGAGUACGCCGGCAACGGUGAAACUCAAAGGAAUUGACGGGGGCCCGCACAAGCGGAGGAGCAUGUGGUUUAAUUCGAUGAUACGCGAGGAACCUUACCAGGGCUUGAAAGUUAAGGAAUGAUUAUGAAAGUAGUCAGUCAGCAAUGACCUAAAACUAGGUGCUGCAUGGCUGUCGU